UUCAGUGCACGCGAUCCAGACAACUCUUUUGUGACUGUAACUUACAACACAACUCAGCCUUGUAAGAAACGCAGUUCCGGAGGUGACUCACCUCAGGGAGAACUGCACUUCUCGCAAAGGUGGCAAAAUGCUAUUCGCAAAGUGAAUGAGCUUGUCAAAUAACUGGAGGAGGAGGCUGUUAAGUGACCCAUACAUUCGGAAGGAGCACAUAUCCCGUCAGAAACUACCGAUGAAAGCGCCUAAAUGCUGAAUGCCAAACUAUGGCAGCAUUGCAAACGAGGUUCCUGAUGAUUCUCCAGGAUCACCAUGCGCACCACGGAGAUGAAAACAGGAUCUUAAACGGCAUCAAGGCGCAACAAAAAUACGUCCCAAAAGGAUGUCUAGUUAUAGAUUUUUGUUUGUAUGUUUGUAGCGGAACCAUAUUCCUUUAUUUUUUGUAAAUGAGAAUACACAUUAUAUUCAUUCUUACUUUUUUACUUGAGCCGUGCUUUCCAAAGCAAUCUGUUGUUUUUGAGUAACAGUUUUCGCAAACAAACAAUUUAUUUUAAAUCUCAUCAAACCAAAAUAUACAUUGAUUAUAUUGUAAUUCAAACUUCAGCGAAACAGGUUAGUUUUUAUUAAUAGACACAAAAAAUUGUUUGUUUGCAAAAGCGGUUACUCUAAAAUAGCAAAUUAAAUGUAGUAAAAACUAAUUUCAACAAUAUAGAGUAUUGUUUAUUGCAACAUAUUGCACAAUAAAUGAACAAUAUAGUUUAAAGCCA